GGAUAUGCAUAGAUUUGAUUUGAUUGUAAAUUUUUUAAAAUUUUAUUUAUUUAUGUAUUUAUUUUGUGUGUGUUUCGUUAUUGUUGGUGUUGUUUGAGCAGAGCUAUCCGGGUCGGUAUGCGAGAGACAUGGAAGCAAUGGGGGACGAAGUUGCGGCAGCGAUGGAGAAAAAGGUGGCGGGGUUCGGGGACUUGCCUCCGCCGACGGUGGCGGAGGAGGAGGUGUCACGGAGGGCGUGGGAGGAGG
rnacentral:lncRNA from 1 species